GAUGAACGCUGGCGGCGUGCCUAAUACAUGCAAGUCGAGCGAACGGACGAGAAGCUUGCUUCUCUGAUGUUAGCGGCGGACGGGUGAGUAACACGUGGAUAACCUACCUAUAAGACUGGGAUAACUUCGGGAAACCGGAGCUAAUACCGGAUGAUAUUUUGAACCGCAUGGUUCAAAAGUUAAAGACGGUCUUGCUGUCACUUAUAGAUGGAUCCGCGCUGCAUUAGCUAGUUGGUAAGGUAAUGGCUUACCAAGGCAACGAUGCAUAGCCGACCUGAGAGGGUGAUCUGCCACACUGGAACUGAGACACGGUCCAGACUCCUACGGGAGGCAGCAGUAGGGAAUCUUCCGCAAUGGGCGAAAGCCUGACGGAGCAACGCCGCGUGAGUGAUGAAGGUCUUCGGAUCGUAAAACUCUGUUAUUAGGGAAGAACAGAUGUGUAAGUAACUGUGCACAUCUUGACGGUACCUAAUCAGAAAGCCACGGCUAACUACGUG
rnacentral:rRNA from 1 species